GGUGGUUUCGGUGGCCUCCGUGUUAACAGCCGUCUACUCAUCCCUGUUCCCUACGCCGACCCGGCUGAUGACUAUACUCUCUUAGUGGGAGACUUUUUCAACAAGGGACACACCGGCCUCAAGAAGAUUCUUGAUAGCGGUCGCAACCUUGGGAGAUGUGACGGUGUCCACCUUAAUGGGAAAGUUGCGAAAGGUGAUGGGAAGGAUGAACCUCUGUUUACGAUGGAGGCAGGCAAAACGUACAAGUACAGGAUUUGCAAUACGGGUAUCAAGACAUCUCUGAACGUCAGGUUCCAGGGCCACACCAUGAAAUUGGUUGAGAUGGAGGGUUCCCACACAAUGCAGAAUGACUAUGACUCCCUUGAUGUUCAUGUUGGACAGUGCUUCAGUGUGCUUGUUACUGCCAACCAGGAACCAAGGGAUUACCAUGUGGUGGCCUCUACCCGUUUUACCAGACGUGAGGUUACAGCAACCGGCAUCAUCCGUUACAAGAAUGGCAAGGGAGCUGCCUCAUCCGAGUUGCCACCACCACCUGUUGGUUGGGCUUGGUCACUCAAUCAAUUCCGUACCUUCCGUUGGAACUUGACUUCUAACGCUGCUAGGCCUAACCCUCAGGGCUCCUACAAAUAUGGUUCCAUUAACAUUACCCGCACCAUCAAGCUUGCCAACACUGCACAAAGAGUAGAUGGCAAGCUCCGAUAUNNNNNNNNNNNNNNNNNNNNNNNNNNNNNNNNNNNNNNNNNNNNNNNNNNNNNNNNNNNNNNNNNNNNNNNNNNNNNNNNNNNNNNNNNNNNNNNNNNNNCUCUUAAUGGAGUCUCCUAUGUCGAACCAACCACUCCACUAAAACUUGCAGAAUACUACGGCGUAGCCGACAAGGUUUUCAAGUAUGAUACCAUUCCCGAUGAGCCACCGAGUGACAACACUAAGGUAACUUUGGCACCUAUUGUCCUCAACAUGACACACAGAAACUUUGUGGAAAUCAUCUUCGAGAAUCACGAGACCGCCAUUCAGUCUUACCACUUGUCUGGCUACUCAUUCUUUGCCGUGGGGUAAGUAUAGCUUCUAACAUAACAAAUACAUGUGGUGAUUUUAUUGCCUGAGUUGAAGUAAUAAGUUGUAUAAUGAUUUGUUGCAGCAUGGACAUUGGGAAAUGGAGCCCUGAGAAGAGGAUGAACUACAAUCUUCUCGACGCCGUGAGCAGACACACCAUACAGGUAUUCCCCAACUCCUGGUCAGCAAUCCUAUUGACAUUCGACAACUGCGGGAUGUGGAACCUGAGGUCGGAGAUAUGGGACAGGCAUUACCUUGGGCAACAGCUUUAUGCUAGUGUUAUUUCCCCUAACCGAUCCCUGAAGGAUGAGUACAACUUGCCGGAAGGUGUAUUGACUUGCGGCAUCGUGCAAGGCAUGCCAAGGCCUCCACCUUUCAGCAGUUAAUUUAAAUAAGCUUAUAAAUCUGUAUCCAAUUCUGGUGUAUGGGGAGAGAGAGGGUGAGAAAAGCUUGAGUUCUGUACAAUAUGUAAUGAAAUAAAAGCUUUUGGACCACUUUAUUGUUACUAAUUUUCGUGUGUUGCCCUCGAAUAUACACACAUUUAAGUUAUUUUCAAUAUAAAAAAACAGAUAUUUUCAAAAUUGUACAAUAUUUUAAAGAUGAAUGAUUUAAGCAUGGUUUAUACUACUAAUUAUUUUGAUAUUUUCAAAAUUGAUAUAAAUAAAUAAUUAAGUUAUAUUAACAAAGAAAUUUAAAAUAAAUAAUCUAUAUAUUUUUUGUUGAUAUACUUCUGCUUGGAACAUUGAUCUUCAUCAAUAUAAAUAAAUCAUUCUACUAUGGCGGUUCAACUUUUUGUUUCUUUUUAUUCAUUUAUUUUUGUAAAUUUCAAAUUUAGAUAUGUCAAAUUGUAAACAUUUAUUUGUCAAAAAGGCUCUUUAAAAUAUGAAAAAAAAAUUAAGUCAUUGUAUACAUUUUGUACUUAAUUAAGUCCCUAUCAUUAAUUAAAAUAAUCAAUUAAGCCACGUAAAAUAAAUUGAUGGAGCAAUAGAUAGAGAUAGUAAUAGCUUCUAGAUUAAUCUAUUAUUUUUCCUAUAAAAAAUAUUAAAAAAUUAAAAAAAAUUAUCAAAAAUAUAAAUAUUAUUAAAUAUUAAAAAAAUAAAAUUGGUAUAAACUUAUAAAAUUUUAAAAAAUUCUAAAAUUAAUAAAAUAUAUUUAAAAUAUUUAAAAUUUUAUAAAAAACAUUACAACUCUAUAAAAAUAAUAAAAAAUAUUAGAAGUAUUAAAUUUGAUAUAAAAUAAUAAUAACUUGAUUUGGGUUGGAUUAGUCAGUUGGACCGGUUAGACCAAAAUCGACAAGGAUAUCGAUCUAGAGAAAGCCAUUAGGCCGGUUGACAUUGGAACCGGAUGGUUGAACCGAUUCUUUAUCUUUUUAAUAUAUAUAUUUUAUUUCUUAAUGUUUUAUUUAAUUAAACUGGACGAAUUAGUCGAAAUGGUAAACCGAUGGCUUAAUUUAAAUUUUUUUGAAAAAGAUAUUAGAUUAAACUAUAAGCUACCACGUCUCAUCAUCUAAUUGGCCUACCAAUUUAUUUUAACAGUCAAUGUAAUCAAUUUCGAACAUCGUUAAAUAUUUUAAUUAAUGCCAAGAAUUUAAUUGGGUGCGAAUUUAAUAUAUGGAUAGACCUUUUGACAUAUAAACCUAUUGAAAAUAAGGUUAUUAUAUUUUAUCUCCCAAUAAUUACAUGGAAUAUUUGAAAUUCAAGCACUCCCUAGAUGACUUUGCUUGGAGACUAGCAUAAUUUAAGGCACUCUUCGCACGAAGAUGGACAAAUUGUGGAUGAUUAAGAAAUUGAAUAGUCUGCUAUGUUUGAAUAUGCUACUAGCUCGUUCUAAUAAUUGAAUUAUUUGAACAAAGUUGAGAAACAAGACCGGAACGUCAAGAAUCCAAGGACGAAUAAUGAAUUUGGUUUGUGAUCUCGUGUCAUAACUCAUUAAGUAGCUAAGUUUAAUGAAUUGAUAUUGAUGAAUGUUCUCAUAAAAGGCAUGUUAUAGCUUAGUUGACUUUGAUGGCAAUAAUGGCUGUGAUGAUUUUCAUAUGGGUAUAUAUUUUAGUAUUCCGGUGUAAUGAGCGUUAGGACACAUCACUUACUUUAAUUCUUUGUUGGGUUAUUAGGUACUUCAAUAUACUAAUUUGCGUAAUCACCAUUGAAUUUGAAAUCGAUUAAUAAGUGUAUCAUGUGUCUAAGAUACAGAAGUGGUAUAUGAUUGAAAUUGAUUAAUAGGGACUAAAAUAUAAGUAUUAUGUGACUUAUGCUUAAGUUAUAACAGAUUUUGUAAGUCUUAGGAUGAUUUGAGAAAUAAGAUGACAUGUUUAAAUGGUAUAAAUUGUCUUUUUAUAUCCUAAUGUCCGAUUUUCGUAUAUCUCAAAAUUUUCCCGCUCGAAUUAAUUCAGCUUUAUAACUAUACUCUAAGGCCUCAAACUAUCAAUAAAACACCAUUUUUGUCCAAAGUUCUCAACAAUCUCAUUCAAGCUCUCAAGAACUCAUCAAUGGCUAUAUUAUCUAUGUUUAAUUAAGUCUUGUUUCUACACAUCCCACUUCAUUUCUAGCAUGUUUUCCACAAAGUUGAAGCUUAACACUAGAUAUUCAUGGAUUCAAGUUUUCAUUCUCUAAGUUCUCUAAUGCUUAGGCUAUGUUCAUCAAAGUAUCACAAACUAAGAUUUUAACAAAUUCAAGUGAAAAGUUCACCUUCCUUAGUAAUUUGAUGGACGAUAAUGGAAGAGUAACCUAAAGAAUUUCUUUCUUUCUUUUGCUUCUCUCACCAAUUGAACACACACACACACACACACACACACACACACACACAUAUAUACAUAAUUAAUCUAAUUACUCAUUAAUCUAAUGGCUGCAAUUGAGCUUAAAGAAUGGUCAAUAGAAAUGAAUGGCAAGGAUCAACGCAAGCCACUAACUAAGAAUAAGCACUUAGGUUCUUGGCAUAAUUACCACUGACAAAUUUGUUUAAUUCUUAAAUCAAUUCUCUUUAUUUUAUUCACCUCACAAUUAGUCUUUGAUCAAUAAUUACUGUUCUUUCAAUCUAGUCCUUGUACUUAAUAAUUUAUCUAAUUUAAUCCCUUAAUAAUUCUAAUUUCUAAUUUCAUGUUCAUCUUGUAAAUGUCUCGAUUUAAGAUUUUUGGACUAGUUCGGCUUCGAGAAUUCAGCCCCGAAAUUGAAAUUUCUGACCCCAGUGAAAAUCAGAAUGUUAUAUGCAAACUGCUCGACAUCCUGCAAGGUCUCCAUAAUGGAUUUCUUCACAUUUGUGUCAUUGUUGCUCGUGUCUGAUCCACCCCUGGUAUUCACUUCAACUGUAACAAUGGUCAUAUUCGUUGCCAUGAGUGAUGUGGAAAAAAUUGUUAAUAUUUCGUUAAGUAAUUUGAAAUGGAUCAUGACUAAUUUGGUGGAAAGAGUUAAUAAAAUAAUUUCUCCACAUUUUGAGUGUUCAAAAUUUAAUUUAUUAUAAAAUCUCUUGUAAAUAAUGUUACAAAUGAAUUUGUCAUGUAUGCGUAAACUCUUGCAAAAAAAAAAAAACUAAUUAUAUUUUUUUUCAAAAUAUCUUUUUGUGUCAUAAUUUAAGUUUUCAUAUAAGAAGGUUGGUUUCACUUUAAUACAAUUUCUAUUUUUAAAAAUUACAAUAGUUUAUCUAUAUUUAUAAUAAAAGAAUAACUAAAAAGGUAACAGAAAAAAACUAAAGCAUUUUUCAUAGAAGCAACUACUUUCCUAAAGAAAAGGUUAGCUAUCCAUAGAGUGAAUAUUCAAAUCCUUGUGAUAACAGAAAACAAUGAUUCAAAAUUGUAAAACCAAAAAUGGAUUAGUGCUAAAAGCAAGGAAAUAAAUGAAUGGAUGAGCUUCUUCUAAGGGAUUAAGAUGGAAGAAUGGAAGAGGGGAUUGUGUGGUAUAAAAGGAGAGGUAUGCAUGCAAUUCAAAAUCAACUCAAGCAAAUCAUCUCCCUCUUCCUCUAGAGGGGAUAAACAGUAUAAUAAAUUACAUUGGAGACGUGGUCGGAAAAAAAGGGUAAAGAGAUGGCUCGAUUAACAUUAAUAUCGAUGUUAGUUCUCUUGGCAGGAUCAAUGCUUAUGGUUCAGGGCGGAGAUCCCACCCUUUUUUUCGAAUGGAACGUCACCUAUGGAACCAUUGCUCCCUUGGGAGUGCCAGUAAGGGGUAUUCUUAUUAACGGGCAAUUCCCGGGACCAAAUCUUAACUCUACCACCAACAACAAUAUCGUGGUCAAUGUGUUCAAUAACCUUGAUGAGCCAUUCCUUGUAACAUGGUAAGCGACUACCAAGAGUAGUUUCUUUUUUACAUUAAUAUGAUUAUGCUAGUGAAGAGUCGAGCUAAUUAUCUGUGGAAAUGGGAUUUGUUGCAGGGACGGCGUGCAACAUAGGAAGAACUCUUGGCAAGAUGGUGUUCUGGGAACCAACUGUCCUAUCCCCCCUGGGAAGAAUUACACCUAUAAAUUCCAGGUGAAGGAUCAGAUUGGCAGCUACAUGUACUAUCCGGUGACGGCUAUGCAUAAGGCGGUUGGUGGUUUCGGUGGCCUCCAUGUUAACAGCCGUCUACUCAUCCCUGUUCCCUACGCCGACCCGGCUGAUGACUAUACUCUCUUAGUGGGAGACUUUUUCAACAAGGGACACACCGGCCUCAAGAAGAUUCUUGAUAGCGGUCGCAACCUUGGGAGAUGUGACGGUGUCCACCUUAAUGGGAAAGUUGCGAAAGGUGAUGGGAAGGAUGAACCUCUGUUUACGAUGGAGGCAGGCAAAACGUACAAGUACAGGAUUUGCAAUACGGGUAUCAAGACAUCUCUGAACGUCAGGUUCCAGGGCCACACCAUGAAAUUGGUUG
rnacentral:lncRNA from 1 species